GAUGAACGCUGGCGGCGUGCCUAAUACAUGCAAGUCGAGCGAACAGAUGAGGAGCUUGCUCCUCUGACGUUAGCGGCGGACGGGUGAGUAACACGUGGAUAACCUACCUAUAAGACUGGGAUAACUUCGGGAAACCGGAGCUAAUACCGGAUAAUAUAUUGAACCGCAUGGUUCAAUAGUGAAAGACGGUUUUGCUGUCACUUAUAGAUGGAUCCGCGCCGCAUUAGCUAGUUGGUAAGGUAACGGCUUACCAAGGCAACGAUGCGUAGCCGACCUGAGAGGGUGAUCCGCCACACUUGAACUGAGACACGGUCCAGACUCCUAAGGGAGGCCGCAGUAGGGAAUCUUCCGCAAUGGGCGAAAGCCUGACGGAGCAACGCCGCGUGGGGGAUGGAGGUCUUCCGAUCGUAAAACUCUGUUAUUAGGGAAAAAAAAAUGUGUAAGUAACUAUGCACGUCUUGACGGUACCUAAUCAGAAAGCCACGGCUAACUACGUG
rnacentral:rRNA from 1 species